GCCAGGUCUCGGGAGCCAUGGAGAAGUUGGAGCGGACAAAAAGCAUGCGGGGCAGUGGGCGCUAAAGUGGAGCUGUGACUGUCUGUGUUUACUCGGUCUCUGUUCAUCCAGUGUGGCUGAUGUAGAUGGGACUGGAGAGGGAGACAGGGAUGAGGGCACGAUUCAACGCACCAGUAGAGCUCUGUGUAGUGAUAGUUCUUGCUUGGCUUUAUUAGUUUGCAGAGGAAUCGUCCAGGAGCCUUAGGUGGACAAGAAUAUGGCAGAAGUGGACCUGAGCAGCCUGACAUCCUUCUAAGGAGACAUGAAUAGUCCUCAUGUUUCUGCCUUCUGCAUCUCUGGUUCAAUCCAAGCUGCAGAAAGUUGACGUGCUGGAGAUCACGGUGUAGCACAUGGAGAGCCUGCAACAGAGCAAGACCCUGGCUCCACUACUGCAGCACCCAAAAGCGUCACUCAGAUCCGGGCCUCAUUGUGUUGGGUGCUGCAUGGAAAAUCAGAGAGAAACAGAUGUCUGGAGAUGGAUAGAUGAGCGUCUCUGGCAUACAGAGGAGGGGUGGAGAGGUGUGUGUGGCACAUGGAGGACAGAUGGUGAUGCUGCAGGCUGACAGCCACCACCAAGCAGAGCCUGGCCACAGAGCAGUGCUACAGCAGGUGCAUGGACCAGCUGCACACUGUGCUCCUCAGCUGCUCAGGGACGGACAAGCACGUGGGUUCCUGGCUGCUGAACAACCUGCCCCAGAUCUUACCCUCUCCUGCACCCAGAGUAGCCUGCUCAUCACAGAGACCAAGACCAGCCCCCAGCUGCCCUGGCAGUCACUGACCCGAAGGUGGAGAGCCUGAUGUCUGGUGGGGGGAAACAGCCCAGUAUCUCCUCUGUAGUGUCAGGACGUACUAUUACAAAUUGCUCCCUGCCCCAAUUUCCUACCAGUUGCAGUUACUGACAUCUACAUAGCACGUUUUUGCCAGCCCUGGGUCUAGGAGUAGCGAUUUGUGGCAGAUGGGGUAUGCAUUGUCACAGUGUGCUACUUCUGGGAAAUCUGUUUGAAAUUGGGACACAUUAAAUGAGUUUUCUAACAAUACAUUUUUCUAAGUGAGAAAACAUUUGUUUUAUUGAGAUCCAAAUUUAAUAUUGAGAUUUCAUGGGGUAGGAAACUGUGACAGGGCAGACAGCAUCCAUCACAAAUUGCUACUUCUGGAGCAGGGCUGAGACAACCAAGGAAAUCAGACAGCAUUCAAGUGAUAUGAUCACAAAUAAUAGCCUGACAUUAAAAAACAAAAAAAACCAUGAGUAUUAAAACCUGUAAUUUACUAUUUCACAAUAAAAAUAUAGGUGGUGGUAUAAUAAUGAAACUAAUGUUUUUGAAAA